GCGGUGGAGCAUGUGGUUAAUUCGAUGCAACGCGAAGAACUUACCUGGUCUUGACAUCCCGGAGACCCUUAGGAAACUAGGGGGUGCUUCCAGUCUGGAAGAAUCUGGAGACAGGUGCUGCAUGGCUGUCGUCAGCUCGUGUCGUGAGAUGUUGGGUUAAGUCCCCGCAACGAGCGCAACCCUCGCCUUUAGUUGCCAGCAGUUCGGCUGGGACACUCUAAAGGGACUGCCGGUGUUAAACCGGAGGAAGGUGGGGAUGACGUCAAGUCCUCAUGGCCUUUAUGACCAGGGCUACACACGUACUACAAUGGCCGAUACAAAGGGCAGCGACACUGCGAGGUGAAAGCCAAUCCCGUAAAAUCGGUCUCAGUCCGGAUUGGAGUCUGCAACUCGACUCCAUGAAGUUGGAAUCGCUAGUAAUCGUGGAUCAGCAUGCCACGGUGAAUACGUUCCCGGGCCUU
rnacentral:rRNA from 1 species